rnacentral:rRNA from 1 species
UACGGAGGGUGCGAGCGUUGUCCGGAAUCAUUGGGCGUAAAGGGCGCGUAGGUGGCCCGGUCAGUUCGUGGUGAAAGCGCGGGGCUCAACCCUGCGUCGGCCAUGAAUACUGCCGCGGCUGGAGCACUGUAGAGGCAGGCGGAAUUCCGGGUGUAGCGGUGGAAUGCGUAGAGAUCCGGAAGAACACCGGUGGCGAAGGCGGCCUGCUGGGCAGUAGCUGACACUGAGGCGCGACAGCGUG